rnacentral:lncRNA from 1 species
AUGAACCCGGCGGGGCUGCCAGCGCCAGCCGAGAGAAGCGAGAGAGGCGAGAGCCGGGUCCCUGCCGGCGCGGCGGCGUGCGACAGCCCUGCUGCGGGGCUGGCGGCGGCGGGGCGGGGGGCGGGAGACGGGGCUGGGGUGGGGGGAGAGACCCUCGACGGCCGGGCCGGCAAGAAAUACAGAUGCAAAAGCAAGACACGGGUAAAUGAGAGAAGUGUUGUUCCUGCAAGCAGAGCAUCCUGUCUCCAAGACAGUGACCAAUAUUUGGAGCCAUCCCUUGGCAUUGACCAUUCAGCUGGAAGCAGAACAUGUCCAGGCCAAUCUUUGGGCCAAAUCCUGCUGGUAAGAAUUGUGUACCAAAGUAACUUUUUGCAGUUACUCCUAGUUUGUUUUAAGUAUCUCAAAGAGUCAGUCGGAAGAUGCCUGCUGACACCAGGAAGGCAGAGCUUGCGCUCAGCAUAA